rnacentral:lncRNA from 1 species
GGUUAGGGUUAGGGUUGGAGUUAGGGUUAGUGUUGGAGCUAGGGUUAGGGUUGGGCUUGGAGCUAGGAUUUUUCUGAGUGCAAUGAACCAACUCCCGAGUCUCUAGGAUGUUCCUAAAAAAAUUUGAUUUUUUCCCAUAGGAAUGCAUGGGUUAGGGUUAGGGUUAGUGUUGGAGCUAGGGUUAGGGUUAGGGUUAGGGUUAGGGUUGGAGUUAGGGUCAGUGUUGGAGCUAGGGUUAGGGUUGGGCUUGGAGCUAGGAUUUUUCUGAGUGCAAUGAACCAACUCCUGAGUCUCUAGGACAUUCCUAAAAAAAUUGUUUUUUUCCCAUAGGAAUGCAUGGGAUAGGGUUAGGGUUAGGGUUAGGGUUAGGGUUAGGGUUGGAGUUAGGGUUAGUGUUGGAGCUAGGGUAAGGGUUAGGGUUAGAGCUAGGAUUAGGGUUGGGGCUAGGGUUAGGGUUAGGGUUAGGGUUAAGGUUGGAGCUAGGGUUAGGGUUAGGGUUAGGGUUAGGGUUAGGGUUGGAGCCAGGGUUAGGGUUAGGGUUAGGGUUGGAGUUAGGGUUAGUGUUGGAGCUAGGGUUAGGGUUGGGCUUGGAGCUAGGAUUUUUCUGAGUGCAAUGAACCAACUCCCGAGUCUCUAGGAUGUUCCUAAAAAAAUUUGAUUUUUUCCCAUAGGAAUGCAUGGGUUAGGGUUAGGGUUAGUGUUGGAGCUAGGGUUAGGGUUAGGGUUAGGGUUGGAGUUAGGGUCAGUGUUGGAGCUAGGGUGAGGGUUGGGCUUGGAGCUAGGAUUUUUCUGAGUGCAAUGAACCAACUCCUGAGUCUCUAGGACAUUCCUAAAAAAAAUUGUUUUUUUCCCAUAGGAAUGCAUGGGAUAGGGUUAGGGUUAGGGUUAGGGUUAGGGUUGGAGUUAGGGUUAGUGUUGGAGCUAGGGUUAGGGUUAGGGUUAGAGCUAGGGUUAGGGUUGGGGCUAGGGUUAGGGUUAGGGUUAGGGUUAAGGUUGGAGCUAGGGUUAGGGUUAGGGUUAGGGUUAGGGUUGGAGCCAGGGUUAGGGUUAGGGUUAGGGUUGGAGUUAGGGUUAGUGUUGGAGCUAGGGUUAGGGUUGGGCUUGGAGCUAGGAUUUUUCUGAGUGCAAUGAACCAACUCCCGAGUCUCUAGGAUGUUCCUAAAAAAAUUUGAUUUUUUCCCAUAGGAAUGCAUGGGUUAGGGUUAGGGUUAGUGUUGGAGCUAGGGUUAGGGUUAGGGUUAGGGUUGGAGUUAGGGUCAGUGUUGGAGCUAGGGUUAGGGUUGGGCUUGGAGCUAGGAUUUUUCUGAGUGCAAUGAACCAACUCCUGAGUCUCUAGGACAUUCCUAAAAAAAUUUGUUUUUUUCCCAUAGGAAUGCAUGGGAUAGGGUUAGGGUUAGGGUUAGGGUUAGGGUUGGAGUUAGGGUUAGUGUUGGAGCUAGGGUUAGGGUUAGGGUUAGAGCUAGGGUUAGGGUUGGGGCUAGGGUUAGGGUUAGGGUUAGGGUUAAGGUUGGAGCUAGGGUUAGGGUUAGGGUUAGGGUUAGGGUUAGAGUUGUAGCCAGGGUUAGGGUUAGGGUUAGGGUUAGGGUUGGAGCCAGGGUUAGGGUUAGGGUUAGGGUUGGAGUUAGGGUUAGUGUUGGAGCUAGGGUUAGGGUUGGGCUUGGAGCUAGGAUUUUUCUGAGUGCAAUGAACCAACUCCCGAGUCUCUAGGAUGUUCCUAAAAAAAUUUGAUUUUUUCCCAUAGGAAUGCAUGGGUUAGGGUUAGGGUUAGUGUUGGAGCUAGGGUUAGGGUUAGGGUUAGGGUUGGAGUUAGGGUCAGUGUUGGAGCUAGGGUUAGGGUUGGGCUUGGAGCUAGGAUUUUUCUGAGUGCAAUGAACCAACUCCCGAGUCUCUAGGACAUUCCUAAAAAAAUUUGUUUUUUUCCCAUAGGAAUGCAUGGGAUAGGGUUACGGUUAGGGUUAGGGUUGGAGUUAGGGUUAGUGUUGGAGCUAGGGUUAGGGUUAGGGUUAGAGCUAGGGUUAGGGUUGGGGCUAGGGUUAGGGUUAGGGUUAGGGUUAAGGUUGGAGCUAGGGUUAGGGUUAGGGUUAGGGUUAGGGUUAGGGUUAGGGUUAGAGUUGGAGCCAGGGUUAGGGUUAGGGUUAGGGUUGGAGUUAGGGUUAGUGUUGGAGCUAGGGUUAGGGUUGGGCUUGGAGCUAGGAUUUUUCUGAGUGCAAUGAACCAACUCCCGAGUCUCUAGGAUGUUCCUAAAAAAAUUUGAUUUUUUCCCAUAGGAAUGCAUGGGUUAGGGUUAGGGUUAGUGUUGGAGCUAGGGUUAGGGUUAGGGUUAGGGUUGGAGUUAGGGUCAGUGUUGGAGCUAGGGUUAGGGUUGGGCUUGGAGCUAGGAUUUUUCUGAGUGCAAUGAACCAACUCCUGAGUCUCUAGGACAUUCCUAAAAAAAAUUGUUUUUUUCCCAUAGGAAUGCAUGGGAUAGGGUUAGGGUUAGGGUUAGGGUUAGGGUUGGAGUUAGGGUUAGUGUUGGAGCUAGGGUUAGGGUUAGGGUUAGAGCUAGGGUUAGGGUUGGGGCUAGGGUUAGGGUUAGGGUUAGGGUUAAGGUUGGAGCUAGGGUUAGGGUUAGGGUUAGGGUUAGGGUUGGAGCCAGGGUUAGGGUUAGGGUUAGGGUUGGAGUUAGGGUUAGUAAUAAUAAUAAUAAUAAUAAUUUUAUUUAUAUAGCACCUUUAAAAACAGAAGUUUACAAAGUGCUUAGACAACAUUUGUAAGCACAGAGCAUCAGCACAUUGAAAAUAAAAACACAUAAACACAAAAGCUCAGUUAAAAACAGGCCUCUGAAUUGUAGGCCUGUUUCACUUUUCGUAAGAAACCCAGGCAGUGUUGUAGUGUUGGAGCUAGGGUUAGGGUUGGGCUUGGAGCUAGGAUUUUUCUGAGUGCAAUGAACCAACUCCCGAGUCUCUAGGACGUUCCUAAAAAUAUUUGAUUUUUUCCCAUAGGAAUGCAUGGGAAAAAAAAUUUGAAAAAUUUUUUAAGUGCCAACCCAAUUUUUCACCUUCCAGAAUUGUGUUAGGAGCACGUUUCAGGGCACGGGGAGUCUAUAGAACCUAAUUUUGGGGGAAGUUUUUUGAAAAGUUUACCUAGGGUUUGGGUUAGGGUUAGGGUUGGAGCUAGGGUUAGGGUUAGGGUUAAGGUUGGAGCUAGGGAUAGGGUUAGGGUUGGGGCUAGGGUUAGGUGUGGGUUGGGGCUAGGGUUAGGGUUAGGGUUAGGGUUAAAAACAAAAACAGGUCGGUGCGGACUCUAACACAGGAGGAGGGCUAAACAAACAGGCGAUUCACCACCAUGUCUUUGGACUGUGGGAGGAAGCUGGAGAGACGUAUGGGAUCACAAACUAAAUGUAUCCCUCUUUGUUCAAUAAAACUACGGCAAAUAUCGUAACUGAUUUUGGACAACAAAUACAAAUAAACAGACUCUGAACAUUAAUAGUGAAUGAUUGAACUAAUGUUGCACCAUCCUGUUGUUCUAUUCUGAGCUCUUUAUUUUGGUUUGACUUUAUUAGACAACCGACAAUUGUUGCCAUAAUUUCACCCCAAAGUGGCCACAUUUGACACCUGAAGGUGAUAAUAUGUGUGUCAUUAUGUCAAACUAUAAUCACACACUCAAGGUUAUGGGCGAUAAUUGGCAAGAUUUUCUAAGCAGACUUUCGGCACAUGGCUGCUCAGCAACAUGAGCUGUCAAUCAGACUGAGAGCGGCUCUGCAGAUCGAGGGCUGAGUCUGAGUAUCCGGUGACACCAACAGUCAACACCAGCAGCACACAGCCACCGCCGCCAAUCAUCCUGCCCGGCUAUGAGGGCGGCUGUGCGAGAAUAAGACCAGCUGAUAUGAAAGAGGAAAUAAGAGCAUUAAUCUGAGAGAAAACAAGAAGAAGAAGAUGAGGAUUACACAUUUUUACUGACAGUUAUCCGGAUUAUUCCAACCUUACCUUGCAGAUAUCAAUAGGCAGGAUCAGAAGUGGUAGUUGAGCUUAAAUUUUACCUAAUAUAUACUGAAAGCUUACUUUUUAUAGCAUAAUUCUCUCCAGGAUAAAAGAAAAUGAGGGUUAAUAAAUGUAAAGUGUCAAAAAUCUGAAUGUAAUCCUGUUUUAUAUGCCAACACCUAUAAAUGUAAUGAAUGUAAGAGACAAUAAAAACAAGCAUCUUGAGCCAAAUUCUUUUUCACUUUCAGUUCGUCGAAAAGAGUCCGACAGAGAAGGAUACCUGCCCUCUCUGUCUGUGAGGUCUGUAAGAAUGUGAGUCUUAACUGUACAAGAACAGAGGCUGCUCAGCUGAAGCAGAUAACAGACCCCAGUUUGAUGAUCAAACUUGGCCGUGUGCCUCCUCUCACAUCCCCUGAUCUCAGAGUUAUGUACACACUAAUCUGGAAAACUAAUAAGACACAGUAUCCCAGAGGCAUCUCUCUGCGUGGUCCACAUUCAUACACUGAAGAGUAAUAAGUGACCCCGCACAGCUGACAGAUUCAGACCUGUAUUACGUUUCAGGUGGUAACAGGAAGCUCUGAUGUGCUCGCAAAUCAGAGUAAUUUGACAGGACCCGGUCCUCCCCUCCUCCCCCCUGGACAUGAGAGCCUGUUUACAGUGAGUCACAUCUGGGUGAAGGUUUAAUAAAGCCUGUAAACAAAUAAGCUUUUGUCAAUACAAGCCUUUUUUUUGAGCUUGUAGCUGUGUUUUCAUGGCUCUGUAUGUUCACAAGCUCAGAAUCAGGUUGGUAAUUGACUUUUAAAGGUCGAAUCAAAACUUCUACAUGUUUGGACAUAGACAAAAAAGGAGGUAAGAGUCAUCCACUUCCAUUUGGGUCCUCCAUCCAAAGAAGUUUAACUGGUGAACAUUUUUUUAGCUACUCCUUUGUAAAUAUUUCUUUUAUACUUUAAAUAUUUUUGUAUUUUUAUUCUAUUGUAUUCUUUUUAGUACUUUAUUGUGUGUUGCUUGCGCUUCUUCGGGUCGAGCGGUUCUUAAUUUUAGCUUGUGUUGCUGAAGCAGAAAAAUGACGUGCCUAAGAGUCGAGCACGAAAGUGAGGCGAUGGCAGAAGUGGUGGUCUUUCAAAAUAAGACACUGGGUGGACAGAUGAAAAAAAUAUAUAUAUAUAUAUUAAAUCAUUGUUAUUUUUUUGCGGCUCGGUACUAAUUGAUCCACUGAACGGUGCCUCUCCAGGGCCCGGUGGUUGGAGACCUCUGACUUAGACAACAGAAAAGGACCUUGAAAAGUUCAUUCAGGAUCCCAGAGGGAGUCAGACAGAAAGUCUAACCCUAUUGUCAUCCCCACUCUGAAGAAAAUCAUGUUUUUCUUGUUGUUUACAUGUACAUAUGACAUUUUUCUGAUGCUACAGGACAUAUCAUGAAAAAAAUAAGAGGGAAAUUGCAUUUCUGAGUAUUUCUGCAUUUAAAUCCCAGUGAACCUCUGGUAGACUCAAAUGGAAGGUUCAGACAAAGUGGGAUUUCCUACAUCACAACUGCUAGCUCCGCCCCCAGAGCCCCGCAAUGCAGGCCAGACUCGGAAAUAGAAAGGACAACCGCUGAACGAGCGUGUGUGUUAGCAGAUUGCAAUGCUCAUAAUAAAGCUUAUUGUAAUAAAUGGAACUCAAAGGGGAAACUGUUUUAACGGUGGGUUCUGGAUUUCUUAUUUUUGGUGAGGAAAAACAAAAAUGUAAAACAAAUUGCUUCUUGUGUCAGAGAGUAAACUCCUUACAGGCGCCUUUAAGAACCAGAAUUAAUGAAUGGAGGAUCCAAUUAGUUUCAGGUUAAUCCUAAUAUUGAGCUUCAGGCUCCUUCAGCGCUGACCUUAUCUUAUCUGUGUCGUAUCUGACACAGCUGUAAACAGGCCUGUCUUCCCCCUGUUUUUACAGAACAACCCGAGUGUUUGGAGUGAGGAUGAUUAAUUUCUAACCACACAAACUCUGGCUGCUGUGACACUUCUUUGCACUCUGUUUUCAACAUGUUCAUAACCUGAAACUUUAUCUUCAAAAUAACUUCGCUGAUGUUAAUUAAGUUUGUUACAAAUGGAGAGAUAUUGAACCAAGUCAGCUCUCUGAAUUAUUACAGACCAGAAAAAAAGGGAAAACUGUGUGAAGUUUGAUGACUAAUAGAGAGUUUUUGUGUCGAUAAUAAAAAUGAAAUUAAGAUAUAUUGCAGUUGUGUAGAUCUAUAUAUAGUAGAGCUGCAUCCAGAGUCAUGUACGAUAGUCAUCCAUGCUACUGCAUUGGGUUUGGAGAGGGGAAAGAGGGAGAUACAUGAAGACACAUUUCAGGCAAACUCUUAAAAGGCUGAGAGAGUGUCUGCCUUCUGGACUCUGACUGGUAGAUGAUCCCAGAGGAGAGGCGUCUGACAACGGAGAAAUCUACAACCCAGGCCAUGUUUCCCAACACCAAAAGGAUCUACAUGGUAGCUUCAGGGGCUGCUAAAGUUUUCAGGUGGACAGAGCCGUCUCUUUAUGAUCUACAAAAGCAAACAAGACCAGGUUAUUUCUUUACAGUUAUUAUACAUGCCUGUCACACCUACAGCUAUUUCAAAAAUGGUAUCAACCUUCCUCCUGUGUUAGCUUUUACUAUGCACCCACCAUGUUAAGGGUCCAUUUUGACCCGUGUCUUGAAUCAGCUGUAAAUUCCACUAAAAUUAAUUCUCUAUCAUCCAGUUUGGUCCUAAUCUCUAGGUUACCUUGUUAGGCUUCAUUGUCCAUGAAAAUAUUGCUUGUAAUAUUUUUUGUAGUGGUCCUCUGGGUGUUUCUUUGUCAGUAUACCCCUCAUACAGACAUCUAUACUGAAUUGAUCUCACAUGUCUGGACAUGCCCGACGUUGUUUUUUAAUAAUAAUUAAUAAUAAUUCUUUUUUUUUUUUUUUGUAUAGCACUUUUCAUGACAUUCAAAGACACUUUACAUAAAGCACAAAAUUUUAAUAUAGCAAUAAAAAAUAAAUAAAUAAGUAAAAUCAAAAAGUCUUGAUGCAAAAAUAAAAAAAUAACUAAAGUAGUCCUGUCAAGUAUUUAAAAUAAAAUAAAAAACGGUGGGUGCAGACUCUCACACAGGAGGAGGGUUAAAGGAUUAUAAAACAAACCAAUCAGUGCAGAUUCAUUCAUCCGUUAUAGACUUUGAUUAAACUUAGAUGAGUAAUAUCAAAUUCUGGGAUAUCGGUUUGAUUUUAAGCCAGUUUGGAAGUUUCUAGGUCAUGACUUUUUUCAGAUUUAAACAGUUACAAACUUUCAUCUUUUAAUAUGUACCUGAAAAUUCUUGCAGUUAUGUGUUUGGCUACUUUUCACAUCUCCUGCUGACCUCCCCUGCAGUCACUAAGAGCCACAGUAGCUUGAGUUCAGCUGAGGAGAUCAGGUGACGCUGAGUUCAGAAGGUUGUUGGGAGGCUCCGGGGUCUAAAUAGCCCCACAGUGCCCACCUCUUGCACCCUUCAUCCCUGUCUCACAAAUCACCACAACCACAGAGGCGAGCAGCAACCAAAGACGCCCGUCCCAUCAGCAUUCCUGUUUUUGCAUUUUUCUCUGUUGCUGCCUUGCUGGUUGUAUUUUUAGCUCUGUAACACAGGACAGAAAGAGGAGGGAGGGGAAGGUGUCAGGGUGGUUGCAUAAUGCUGACGCUUGUUACCUCCAGCCCGCUGCAGGUAGCGGCUUUCCAGCUCGUCAUGCCUGCUGCUUUGCAAUCUGCAGCUACGGUGGCACAUGCAGAGCCAAAUCCCAAGGGCCGUCAUCGCUAAAGGUGAUAAUUUGAUGGGCCUGCAGUAACUUAUAAACACUGCAAAG